rnacentral:lncRNA from 1 species
GCUCCUCCCACAGUGUCACAUGUUGAUGUCGAGCCUGCAGAGCAGAAGCUGUGAAGCACCUGCCUCUCCUGAGGGCAGCCUGGAGGCAUCACCUGCUGAGUUGUCUCUACCAAGCUGAAACAUACACAGAAACCUCCUUUAGCAAUUCUCCACGUGGAGCAGUCACUGGAAUUGCAGUGCCCUGGGCAAGAGAUUAGUGAGAUUUCACCAGCAGCUGUUGCAAAUGGCCAUGGUUUCCAUGAAGAGUGCACAGAUGGCUCCGUCCUCACAACUUCCUUAGAAAGAUGGAAAAUGGAACUUGUCUUGAUGACAGUGUCUGCUAGGUUCAUCAACUUCUGAAAUGUGGUGACAGAGCAUAGACUACAACUCAUGGGUAAAAGGACAUUGCUUAGAAGCAAAUAGUAAUAUUUGUCAGGGAAGAUCUUG